rnacentral:rRNA from 1 species
AUUGAACGCUGGCGGCAGGCCUAACACAUGCAAGUCGAACGAGUGGCGGACGGGUGAGUAAUGUCUGGGAAACUGCCCGAUGGAGGGGGCUAACUACUGGAAACGGUAGCUAAUACCGCAUACCAUCGGAUGUGCCCAGAUGGGAUUAGCUAGUAGGUGGGGUAACGGCUCACCUAGGCGACGAUCCCUAGCUGGUCUGAGAGGAUGACCAGCCACACUGGAACUUGGAAAAGGUCCAGAACCCUACGGGAGGCAGCAGUGGGGAAGAGUGGAAAAUGGGCGCAAGCCUGAUGCAGCCAUGCCGCGUGUAUGAAGAAGGCCUUCGGGUUGUAAAGUACUUUCAGCGAGGAGGCGUUACUCGCAGAAGAAGCACCGGCUAACUCCGUGCCAGCAGCCGCGGUAAUUC